rnacentral:rRNA from 1 species
GACGAACGCUGGCGGCGUGCUUAACACAUGCAAGUCGAACGGAAAGGCCCUGCUUUUGUGGGGUGCUCGAGUGGCGAACGGGUGAGUAACACGUGAGUAACCUGCCCUUGACUUUGGGAUAACUUCAGGAAACUGGGGCUAAUACCAGAUAGGAGCUCCUGCUGCAUGGUGGGGGUUGGAAAGUUUCGGCGGUUGGGGAUGGACUCGCGGCUUAUCAGCUUGUUGGUGGGGUAGUGGCUUACCAAGGCUUUGACGGGUAGCCGGCCUGAGAGGGUGACCGGCCACAUGGGGACUGAGAUACGGCCCAGACUCCUACGGGAGGCAGCAGUGGGGAAUAUUGCACAAUGGGCGGAAGCCUGAUGCAGCAACGCCGCGUGCGGGAUGACGGCCUUCGGGUUGUAAACCGCUUUCGCCUGUGACGAAGCGUGAGUGACGGUAAUGGGUAAAGAAGCACCGGCUAACUACG